UACGUAGGGUGCAAGCGUUAAUCGGAAUUACUGGGCGUAAAGCGUGCGCAGGCGGUUUUGCAAGACAGAUGUGAAAUCCCCGGGCUUAACCUGGGAACUGCAUUUGUGACUGCAAGGCUAGAGUGUGUCAGAGGGGGGUAGAAUUCCACGUGUAGCAGUGAAAUGCGUAGAGAUGUGGAGGAACACCGAUGGCGAAGGCAGCCCCCUGGGUCAAGAUUGACGCUCAUGCACGAAAGCGUGGGGAGCAAACAGG
rnacentral:rRNA from 1 species